CCCCCGGCCAAAGUGUGGAAGUGGCGUCCGAGACCCCCAAGGGCCAAGCCAAGUAACUCAGAUCAUUAUUACGCUUCUAAGCCAAGAUGUCAGCACUGUUCAGCGUUGUGUGCCCCGGUGGUUGGGAGAACGAUGACGAACUGGAAGGACAACAAAAGCUGCAGAGAGGAGAACUUCUGUACGACGGAUCGUCUGACUAGAAGUAUGGUGCGUAGUGAUCCAUUCCGUACUGCAAGUGAAACUGAACGUCACAUCCCAAGCCUAGGGCGGCAAACUAAGUCUACACAAACCAUCAGAAGGCGUCUACAUAAAAUUGGGCUACAAGCCAGACUGUCCAGGUACAACUGAUAUAUUGACCUCACUCCACCGCUCUCAAACACUAUCGUGGUGCACAGCAAGACGGCCCUCUUUCUGCUGGUAUAUGAGAUGUGAAUACAUCAUGCAAAGGAAUUAACAAGUGAUCGAGAGUCUACAAAAAGGAGGCUCACCUUGUGUGGUUGUGCUAUGUGUAGGCACAACUCUAGUGUGAGCUCAUCUGGGGUUGUUAAGAUCCCCUCUAAAACGGAUGGUGUGCAGCCAGGGAUACAGGUGCUUCUGGUCAGGGAUGUCUGGAGUCCCUCAGAAGAUGCGUGGAUCAGCAAGGAAGAUGUCCCACGGCGCAAGAGACCUUGCUUUCAGCCCAGCCCCUCA